ensembl:lncRNA
AUAAAGGAUGAGGCCAUUUGCCUGUGCCUGGGGCAAAGGGGAGCAGAGAGAGUAAAGAAAUCCUGCAAAAUCAUGACUGCUGGGCUGCUGCGGUCAGCAGAAUAAUAGCCCCCAAAGAUGUCCACGUGCUAACGCCAGGAACCUGUAAAUGUGUUACUUCCACAGCAGGCAAAGGAGAAUUAAAGUUACGAAUCAACAGAUAAGGAAAUUCUCCUGGGUUAUGCAGGUGGGCCCAAUAUAAUCACAAAGCCCUUAAAAGUGGAAGAGAGAGGCAGAAGAGGUCAGGGUGACUGGACGUGACGAGGACUCCACCUCCCACUGCGGCUUUUACAGAAGGAUGAAGGCGGCUGUGAGCCAAGAAAUGUGAGUGGCUCCAGAAGCUAGAAAAGACACGGAAAUGGACCCUCCCCUUGAGCCUCAGGAGAAGAAUGAAAGUAGCCCUGCUGACACCUUGAUUUAGCCCACUGAGACGUUGUGAAGUAGACAACUGCAUGUAAGACCUUCCAACUCAGAACUGUGUGACUGUCCAGAAAGCAGAGGUAGAUGACCACGUAGAAAGCAUCUGGGACCAUAGGUCAGAAGAGCUGGUAUCUGGGCCUCAAAUUUCCCACUGUUAGCUGGGUAUUCCCGAGCAGCAUUCAGCUUCUUGUCCUCAGUUCCUUCAGCUAUAAAAUGGAGUGCUUAAUGACGAUGUUAACAUAAAAAUAAAUAAUACCUGCUUCACGUACCUCACAGGAAUUUUUAGGAGGAUCUAAUGAUCUAAUGAGGAUCUAAUGACAUGACAACGUAAAAGCACUUCGAAAACAAUCUUCUUUCUGAUAGAAGAACAGCACAGUGGCCAAGACAAAGGUGGAAUCAGUGGAAAGAAGUAGAAGCCUGACAUUUAAUAAACUGGAUAAUCAGCAUAAGCUUGGUCAUUGUCGUACUUGAGCUUCAAGUGGAGUCUGAUUAAUUUGGAAACAAUGCAAUUGGGGCAAAUUCCUUCCUUAGAUUUUCAGGCAACUUUGGGUCCAAAGUUAUUAGCUGUUACGAGCAUUCCCACUGGCAAAAAGUGAGAGCAUGCCUCUGUUGACAAAGCCUAAAACAUCAUCUGUGACACCAUGAAUGUUUCAUUGCACAAUAGAGCAGGGAAUACUAGUUACCACACUUCUCCAUUUUUCAUCUCAUGUGAUGGAGCAGAAUACAUCAUGGGUCGUGGGCAAUAGCAACAUGCGUCUGUUUCUUGGCCCUCUCAGCGCCAGGACCGGAGUAAUCUAUUGCGUUAUCUUAUGGCAUUCUGGGUAUUCUUGAGCAAUAUUAGAGACUUAGACUAAGAGAAGGAGGACUCUAAGUAACCUAUUAAAGUAUCAUUUGUCUGGAAGGCUGUGAUAUGCUAAACCUGGAUCAGCAAUUAAGUUUAAUUCCUUGCUCUAUCUGUUUGGAAAUGGAACCUUUAGCAAAAGUGGAUGUGCUUUACCAACAAGUGCAUUUUUAAAGUAAUCUCCAUUGUUUAUCACUUUAUUUAUUUAUUGAGGUAACAUUGGUUUAUAACAUAAGUUUCAGGUGUACAUCAUCAUCAUCAUUAUUGUUGUUUAACACUUUAAUGGUAGAAGUCAUGGAUGAUUCUAGGCAGGUGAAUUACGCAAACAAACAUGCACAAGGAGGGGCGCAACCUUAUCAUAGUUAUAUAUGCAUUUAGGUUUAGUAGCUACUUGGGAAAUGGGAAUUUUUCUCUUGAUAAGACAAAUUAGCAAUCUGAUUUAGAGACAUUUUCUUUAAAUCAUCUGGUUGCUUUAUCUUACCAGAAACUGUGCUUUGGAUAUUCCUUUCUUUUUGUUACUUUUAUCAUUUGAUUCAAAGAGAGUAAGUAACAUUUUAAGAGCAAGCAUAGCUUACAUGGGACUCUUUCCAAAUUGUUUUACUUACAUAUUACUUUGUUUUUAAUCUUUCUUUUUAAGUAAAGGAUCUAAAAGUAUAUUCCACAAACAAAUUCAAGAAUCUGAAUAGCUGGUGAACCACUUGUUUGCCAUUUCAUAGGUACAAUUACUCUUAGUUUUACCCACAGUGAUUCAGUGUUAAAAAACGGAUAACAAAACUCAGUACUUUAUUUCUCUGUUUUAGGUUUUACUUUGACCAUGUAGCACAUGCCACCGAUUUCUAGGCAUUAGACUGAAUUUUUCAACAGUGAAUUAAUUAGCACAAAUUUUUUGUUAUAGUUGAGGGAGGGGGAGUAAAUAAAAUGGAGAGACAAGAUUAAGCAGAGUUGAGGGAAACAGGUUAUUUCAUCUUUCAAAGAUAAAGUUCUAUGGCAGGAAGCUUCUCGGUACUCAUUAGGAACACAAGCCUCCACACAUGCAUGGGAGAACGGGGAGCAAAAGGAAUUUCAAUUACUUUUUCAUGAAAUCUGACCCAGAGUGGAACAAAGAGAAUUCUAAAGCUUUUGCAUAUGGCCAUAUUUGGGGGGUUGGGGGGGACAUCAAUCUUUUUCCCCCUUCUCUGGUGUUGCUUGAACAAAAAGAAUUAUUGAAAUUGAACUUGUUCAGGUUUUUAUAAAUCAAGAUGUCAACAAAUACAAGCACUAGUCCAGUUACAAGAGACUGUAGUUUACAGAAUAAAACUAACCCUGUUUCUUUUUUUUAAGCUCUAUAAAGAACACAUUGUUUAUUCUUGUGUAGAAAAGUCAUGUAAAGAAGCUCUCUGUCAGGUACUCUAUUUUUAUUUAGUUGUUUCAUAACUCAAUUAUAAUGUUCCCCUCUGUCUAAUAAUUAGCAUACCCACAGUAAUGAAGCUUGAAAAGCUGUUCUUUUCCCCACUGUGUGUCAGUUAAACUUCCAGAUUGUUAUGGAGAAUGAGUUGUGCCUGUGUAGGUGAGUUGUCUUUCCCGCCUGCUCUGGCAGCUUGCCCCUGUGCAGUAGUUGAGGGUCAGCUCUUGGAGAAAGGCCCAGCCAGAGGCCUGAGCAGGGACUUCCUGCCAUCUGCAGCACAAGGAAAGAUGUCAGCAGGAAGCGCUCAAACGGCUCCUCUCCAGCUCUCCCAGGAUGACCAGUAUUUCCCCCAGUUCCACAACUAGGGAAAUUUAACAGUCACUUGAUGUACACGUUUUGAGCCCUGGAUUUGGUUGUCUUUCAUGCCCGGGUUUUUGUGGCCACUUACCACCUUUUGAAUACCCUUUCUAUGUUUGAGGAAUUCCCCACAGUAUGAGUCCUGCCUCUCCAUUGUAUAAGCCCCAAAUACACUUUCCCAGCUUCUCUUACAGCAAAUUUCUGACCUAGGCUCAGCCAAUCUGUCUUGCUUGUAGGAGA